GAUGAACGCUGGCGGCGUGCCUAAUACAUGCCAGUCGAGCGAACAGACGAGGAGCUUGCUCCUCUGACGUUAGCGGCGGACGGGUGAGUAACACGUGGAUAACCUACCUAUAAGACUGGGAUAACUUCGGGAAACCGGAGCUAAUACCGGAUAAUAUAUUGAACCGCAUGGUUCAAUAGUGAAAGACGGGUUUGCUGUCACUUAUAGAUGGAUCAGCGCCGCAUUAGCUAGUUGGUAAGGUAACGGCUUACCAAGGCAACGAUGCGUAGCCGACCUGAGAGGGUGAUCGGCCACACUGGAACUGAGACACGGUCCAGACUCCUACGGGAGGCAGCAGUAGGGAAUCUUCCGCAAUGGGCGAAAGCCUGACGGAGCAACGCCGCGUGAGUGAUGAAGGUCUUCGGAUCGUAAAACUCUGUUAUUAGGGAAGAACAAAUGUGUAAGUAACUAUGCACGUCUUGACGGUACCUAAUCAGAAAGCCACGGCUAACUACGUG
rnacentral:rRNA from 1 species